rnacentral:rRNA from 2 species
UAUACAUGCAGUCGAGCGGAUUGAUGGGAGCUUGCUCCCUGAUAUCAGCGGCGGACGGGUGAGUAACACGUGGGUAACCUGCCUGUAAGACUGGGAUAACUCCGGGAAACCGGGGCUAAUACCGGAUAACUCAUUUCCUCGCAUGAGGAAAUGUUGAAAGGUGGCUUUUAGCUACCACUUACAGAUGGACCCGCGGCGCAUUAGCUAGUUGGUGAGGUAACGGCUCACCAAGGCGACGAUGCGUAGCCGACCUGAGAGGGUGAUCGGCCACACUGGGACUGAGACACGGCCCAGACUCCUACGGGAGGCAGCAGUAGGGAAUCUUCCGCAAUGGACGAAAGUCUGACGGAGCAACGCCGCGUGAGUGAUGAAGGUUUUCGGAUCGUAAAGCUCUGUUGUUAGGGAAGAACAAGUGCCGUUCGAAUAGGGCGGCACCUUGACGGUACCUAACCAGAAAGCCACGGCUAACUACGUGCCAGCAGCCGCGGUAAUACGUAGGUGGCAAGCGUUGUCCGGAAUUAUUGGGCGUAAAGCGCGCGCAGGUGGUUUCUUAAGUCUGAUGUGAAAGCCCACGGCUCAACCGUGGAGGGUCAUUGGAAACUGGGGAACUUGAGUGCAGAAGAGGAAAGUGGAAUUCCAAGUGUAGCGGUGAAAUGCGUAGAUAUUUGGAGGAACACCAGUGGCGAAGGCGACUUUCUGGUCUGUAACUGACACUGAGGCGCGAAAGCGUG